AUGACCAGAGAUAAUCUUAGGAAAAGACAUAUCAUCAAACCCCUUGAGUGUGUCUACUGUUUGGAGCAAGAUUCUUGCUCCCACCUUUUCUUUGAUUGCAUUGUUGCCAAACACCUCUAGGUUCCUGUUGUAGAUCACUUCAAUACUCAGAUCGGCUUUUCCUUUGAAUCUGUAGCUAGAUUCUGGAUUGCUAACAAAAACUACUCUGUCUUGAAUACUGUUAGCUCAGCUGUCCUUUGGUGUGUCUGGAAAUAUAGAAAUGCUAUGAUUUUCAAUAACACUACUUGGAUUUAUGUUGCUCAGGUCCUAAGAUUGAUCAUGAACACAGUGAGGAACUGGGCGAUUCUCUCCUCGGGAUCAGACAAGGAAAAACUGAUGUCCUUCGUGGGGUUCCUCACAAAGUACCUUUAG
rnacentral:rRNA from 1 species